UACGUAGGGUGCAAGCGUUGUCCGGCAUUAUUGGGCGUAAAGAGCUCGUAGGCGGUUUGUCGCGUCUGCUGUGAAAACUCGGGGCUUAACUCCGGGCCUGCAGUGGGUACGGGCAGACUAGAGUGCGGUAGGGGAGACUGGAAUUCCUGGUGUAGCGGUGAAAUGCGCAGAUAUCAGGAGGAACACCGGUGGCGAAGGCGGGGCUCUGGGCCGUAACUGACGCUGAGGAGCGAAAGCGUGGGGAGCGAACAGG
rnacentral:rRNA from 1 species